rnacentral:rRNA from 1 species
AUUGAAACCCCGGUUCUCGUCCGAUCUCCGAAGUUAAGCAACGUCGAGCAUGGUUAGUGCCUAGAUGGAUGACCGCUUGGGAAUCCCAGGUGAUGUAA